rnacentral:rRNA from 1 species
AUUGAACGCUGGCGGCGUGCCUAACACAUGCAAGUCGAGCGGUAACAGGUGUAGCAAUACAUGCUGACGAGCGGCGAACGGGUGAGUAAUGCUUCGGAAUCUGCCCAUGUAGUGGGGAAUAACCAGCCGAAAGGUUGGCUAAUACCGCAUACGACCCUUGCCCACAAGGCAAAGGUGAAAGCAGGGGAUCGCAAGACCUUGCGCUAUUGGAUGAGCCGAAGUCGGAUUAGCUAGUUGGUAGGGUAACGGCCUACCAAGGCGACGAUCCGUAGCUGGUCUGAGAGGACGACCAGCCACACUGGGACUGAGACACGCCCAGACUCCUACGGGAGGCAGCAGUGGGGAAUAUUGGACAAUGGGGCAACCCUGAUCCAGCGACGCCGCGUGUGUGAAGAAGGCCUGCGGGUUGUAAAGCAC